GACGAACGCUGGCGGCGUGCUUAACACAUGCAAGUCGAACGGAAAGGCCCUGCUUUUGUGGGGUGCUCGAGUGGCGAACGGGUGAGUAACACGUGAGUAACCUGCCCUUGACUUUGGGAUAACUUCAGGAAACUGGGGCUAAUACCGGAUAGGAGCUCCUGCUGCAUGGUGGGGGUUGGAAAGUUUCGGCGGUUGGGGAUGGACUCGCGGCUUAUCAGCUUGUUGGUGGGGUAGUGGCUUACCAAGGCUUUGACGGGUAGCCGGCCUGAGAGGGUGACCGGCCACAAUGGGACUGAGAUACGCACCAGACUCCUACGGGAGGCAGCAGUGGGGAAUAUUGCACAAUGGGCGGAAGCCUGAUGCAGCAACGCCGCGUGCGGGAUGACGGCCUCCGGGUAGUAAACCGCUUUCGCCUGUGACGAAGCGUGAGUGACGGUAAUGGGUAAAGAAGCACCGGCUAACUACGUG
rnacentral:rRNA from 1 species